UACGUAGGGUGCAAGCGUUGUCCGGAAUUAUUGGGCGUAAAGAGCUCGUAGGCGGUCUGUCGCGUCUGCUGUGAAAACUCAGGGCUUAACCCUGAGCUUGCAGUGGGUACGGGCAGACUAGAGUGCGGUAGGGGAGACUGGAAUUCCUGGUGUAGCGGUGAAAUGCGCAGAUAUCAGGAGGGAACACCGGUGGCGAAGGCGGGUCUCUGGGCCGUAACUGACG
rnacentral:rRNA from 1 species